UCUCGGCUUAUCACCGGCAGUCCCCUUAGAGUGCCCAACUUAAUGCUGGCAACUAAGGGCGAGGGUUGCGCUCGUUGCGGGACUUAACCCAACAUCUCACGACACGAGCUGACGACAGCCAUGCAGCACCUGUGUGCAGGCCCCGAAGGGAGGGUAACUUUCGUCACCGGUCCUGCACAUGUCAAACCCAGGUAAGGUUCUUCGCGUUGCGUCGAAUUAAACCACAUGCUCCACCGCUUGUGCGGGCCCCCGUCAAUUCCUUUGAGUUUCAACCUUGCGGUCGUACUCCCCAGGCGGGGUACUUCUUGCGUUAGCGCCGGCACCCGGAGGGUCGCUCCCCCAGGCACCUAGUACCCAUCGUUUACGGCGUGGACUAC
rnacentral:misc_RNA from 1 species